GGGAGGAAAAUUUUGUCGUGCUCUUGUUCACCAUGGCUUCAUCUCUAACUUCCUCUUCAUCGGUGGCUAUGGCUUCUUACCGUCAUCGACCCUUUCAACGACCACCACUAUCACUCCGACUACCUUCCAGUGCCUCUGAAAACCUACCAUUUUCAGGCAUCCGAGUUCCCAUGGAUGAAGUGCGUUCUUAAAAUCAAGUUCCCAUGGAUGAAAUAAAUUCUUCAAAUCCAGUGAAUGUAUUCGGAUCCAUGUCUUCAAGUCAGUUUCAGGUCUGGCUAUGGUGGAUGGUUUCUAUAUACUGCUGCCUCGGCUGGAGACUUGGGUUUUGUUCAGGAACUGCUUGAAAGAGACCCUCUUCUUGUUUUUGGAGAAGGAGAAUAUGGUGUCACUGAUAUACUUUAUGCUGCUGCCAGGAGAAAGAAUUGUGAGGUUUUUAGGCUUGUUUUUUAUUUUGUAGUCCCCCCAAGGUUCUCCACCGACGAAGGUGGAGAGAUGGAGGAGCAAAUUGGGGAGAUCCCUUUUGUUUUUAAGUGGAAGAUGAUAAAUAGAGUUGUUCAUGCUACUACCAGAGGGGGGAAUUUGGAGAUUUUGAAGGAGCUCCUUAGUGAGUUUUGGCUAAAUGUAAGAUCGAAAUAUGUAAAAAUAAAAAGUUACAAUUUUUUAAUUUUACAAAUAAAAAAUAUUUUAUAUUGUAUC